rnacentral:misc_RNA from 1 species
AUUGGCCAUGAAAAUUCUAGUGCCGUAUCCUUGAGCUGAAGUUUCAAUGAAUCAUCAUUCUCUAUGGUAAAAGAAAGGUCCAUCAAAAAUCCACUAUAUAUGUUCAACAAUCAUUUCAUCAACUUAAAUAAAAAAAGGCAAAACAAAAAGAGGAAGAGGCUACUGUAGAAUUAUGAUGAAAACAAGGAAAAUCCAACAAUGUUAGAUAUGAUGAAUCUGAGAAAUGAUGAACCUGAAUUUUAAUUUAUUUUUACAGGUAGAUGAGAAAAUAUAUGGGAUUGCAUACAUUUCUAAAAGUUUUUCAUAAACAUUUGAAAUCCAAAUGUUACAUAUCAUUACUUGAUCAUGAACCAUUAAGAUAGGAAAAUAUUUGAUCACACUUAGCAUUAGCAGCCAUUAUAAUGCUGACAAAAGCUUAAGUUGGUUAAGUGACAAUUACAGUUUCUAAAUUGACCUAAAAGUCUUGCAGCCUGGACAAGUAUUACAGGAUGAGAAUGCUAGAGACAUAUGAGUUAUUACAAUAAUGGCAUUAAACAUGUCUCUCACAUUGAAAAUCACCUCUAACUUUGAUGCAUUUUUAUUGACAUCUAAAAUAAACUAUAUAAAUAUAGAAAAUAAAACAGUAUUACCAGUUUGAAUUCUUGUUCUUAAAAAAGAUUAAUGAUGGCUGCCGCUG